UAAUGUGCUUGGUAAUUAGCACUAUUGUACUCAUGGAUGGUUAUGAUCAUACAUGUUUUCCAAUCCUUAAUAUGCAUUUUCCCACUUUUGUUUUAUUAAUGAAAUGAGCAGCUUCAUGGGGAUUCCCAGCACAAGGGCUUACUAUUGAGGCAGAGGUAUUGGGUAAAUACCCUUUCAGCAGUCCUCACAUAACACUCCAUAAGCUCCCUCUGAAUCAUGAGGCUGUCUCUCCAAGGGUACAGUUGACAGUAAUGGACAGAAGGCUGCCUGCACCUGCCAGCACUCCAAAGACGAUCAAGAAUUACUACAAGAACCAUCAGAGCUCCAUUUCUUAUCACUCAUUCUAAAUUUUGGAGUGGCAACUAGAUGUUUUUACACACACACACACACAAUGCUAGAGUCCUUGCUAGGGCACUCUAUGAAAGAAUUAUGAAAGCGUCAGAGGGCAUUUAUAAUGCAAAUAUUUCCCUCUACAUAAAUCUUCAAUUUUUCCUUCUGUUAAAUACCACACUGCACUUUAUGCAUCUAUGGACUUGACUUUGAGGGUAAAAGCCUGAAUCAGAGUAACUUUUUGUUUUAUAAUAAUAUUGUGCAUAUCAGAAGUUUAUGAUAUAACAAUUGAAAGAAACUAUAUCCAAGUGGAUAAGCAGAAAACCUGGAUUUCUUUUUCAACUGUCAUACAUUUCCUUAUAAUAAAAUUUGGGAACAAUAUUUUUUUAGGAUCAGAAAACUAUAGAGAAGGCAAAGAAAGAAAGAAACUAAACAGAAAAAAUUUUUAAAAAGAGAAUUAAUCUUUUAUCAAUGUCCCGCUUUGCUCCCUCUAUUGAGUUUGAUAUUUGGAAAUUUGUAAAAGUUUUGACAUUAUGUAUACGAGUGUUUUUCCACAUGAUGCGGGCAUUUUUACUGAGUCCACUUGGCAUCUUUAAGCAUCAGUACUUGUGAGUGCCAAGUGCCGGUGUGAUUAGUUAAACAUGCGAUCUGGAUGGUUUGGUUGAAUAGCUAUGGGGCUUUUCAUUAUAAAAUUCUGGUCAGGGAUUGGUUUCAAAAGAAACCAUGUACUUUGUUGGAUUUUUUAAAUAAAGAGUUACAGUAAAUAUUUUGGAAAGCAAAAUAGGGAAAGGGCAUAUGAAACAUUUCUGUAUGGACCAGAAAAAGAUUCAGAACCUAGGGCAGAGUUUAAAAAGUCAAGUAUCUAAAUAUCUUACCAAGAGCAGCUGUAAUGUGUAGUGGAUUUUGGACUAAUAAUGGGAGCUUAUUUGGUAUUCUUUUUCCUUGUAAGAUGGGAAUUUUUUUUUUUAUUCCACUCUUACCAAAGGCAAAGUGUCCUGGCUAACAAGGAUUAUUUUGUGAAUUGAAUGAAUAAUGAGAUUAACCUUUAUGAACCUCCAGUGAACUGCAAACGAUGGCUACAAACCAUAGUCACAUCUCUUCUGCUAUAGAAAAAAAUCUUCUCCCAUUAUUUACACAUAUACUUGAGGCAUUUCUCCAUUCUAUUUUCACCUUUUUUUUUUUUUUUUUUGCAUCCUUUUCUUACUUAUAAUAACCACCUCUUCCAUCCAAGGGACAUUUAAAUAAAAGCACAAGGUAAGUUAUCUGUAUUUGAAAAGAGACAUCAAAACACUAACUUUGUAAAGCACAGGGGAGAAAACUGUUUCCCAUUUUUUCCCAAAACAAAGGAAGUAAGAAAUUCUUUCGUGGUUUUUAUUUGUUUUUCAAAUCACAUUGUCCUCAACUUUUAAAAUAAUAAUCUUCCUUGACAGCCAUUUAAUAAUUGUGAGUGAUCUAUGACUUUAUUAUAAAGUACUCAUCUCAUCUAAUGAUCUAUUUCCUUUACCCCAGGGGCCAAGUACAAAGCUAAGGAAUUAUCUUGGUGAUACUUUUAAUAACUUCCUGUGGGAUUGCAAACCCCAACUGAAGCCAGCUCUGCAAAGGAGUUAAUCAUGUAAUUUCACAGAUUAGACACCACAGGGUUACUAAUGAGAAACUUCAGUUUAGUGAUAAACUAUUUUUUUUUCCAGGAAUAUUUUGAGAGGCCUGUAACCUUUGGCUGACACCCAGCAAGGCUAUUAGUUUAACCAUGCGAUGCAAUACUAAAUGCACAAGAGUCAGCAGAACUUCUUUUCUGGAAAGUUGAUUAUAAGAAUAGUUUUGUUAAGAGACUCCAGAAACAGAUGGAAUGGACAAAAAAAGGUGGGGGGGAGACAAGCAUUAAAAAAAACCUUACCAACUUCCAUUGGUUGGCAUAACUUUAGCUUCUAGUGUCUUUUCAACCAUAUGCACAAGAUGGAAACUGCAGUUCACAUUUAAAUGUCAUGCUGCCCUCUGUUCCAUAAACAUGUAUCAUCCAUCACUAAAUAUUUAGAUCUCAAUUGUUGGAGCUGAGUUCUGUGCCAGGGGUACAGGGAUGAAUUCCUUUCAAGGUCCUCACAUGAUGGAUUUUACACUGGGGUAAACAUCCGAGAAGAGCUCACACUAAAGCCAUAAGAUAUAUAAAUAAAGUUUAAAGUUUAAUUAAGUCAACAUUAUUUAAAGUGGUUGUCAUAUUUUAUGGCGAACUUUUCAUGUUUAUUAUGUAUGACUCCUAAUAAAUAGCCCCUCCUGAUCAGACAAAAAACACAGCUAGGUUAAAGGCAAGGGCUCCAAACUUAGGACUGGAAGGAAGGAAUUUCUGAGUUUGGGGAUAGCGCAACCUUUUCACAUUAUACUUUUGCUUCAAAAACUAACCUGUUAUCUCAACACUGACUCAGUAUCUUGUUCAGACAGAACGUUUGAAAAUGCUUUAAGGCUUUAUCCACUGGACCGUUGGGAGACAAUAUACUCACAUACUUAGGAGCACAGACUGGCAAAUAGAGAAGAAAAAUGCAUGUAAUAGAACAACUUAACAUUUGAUAUUUUAAUCUUAUAAUAAUAGAAAGUAUAAGAAAAAAAUAACUGAUUCAAAGCAUGUUCACAAUAGCUUGUUAGCUUCUUAGAAUAAAUUUUCUGAAAAGGUAAAUUUUUUUGAUGUUAACAUUUUGAAGGGGGCUAAAAUCUUUUAUUAUUUUUUUCUUUCUCAAUUUUUUAAAAAAUUAGCAACAAAGCUUUCUUCAAAGAAAAUUCCAGAUGCCCAGUGUGUAAAGCAGCUGUGACUCAUCUUCUCCACAGUAUAAUGACCCCCAAGGAACACCUGAGAAAUCACUAAGGCUUUGCAGAAUACAGGAUGAAAAGCAAAAUAAGAAAUUCAAACUGUAAAUCUUGCCAUAAAAAGAUAGCUGUGCUAUUGAAACUGGUACAGCCACCACACUAGGGCUUCAAAACCAUGUUGCAAAAUUUAUGAAAGCCCACAUUUGGUGAGAAAAUAGAUUUAUAUGUACCUUCUAAAAUAAAAUUUUUCAGAUCACAUUUUUUAUAUAAGGCAAAGUCAAAUUUAAUUGAAGCUAUUUCUUCAGAGCAUGCUUUUUUCCCCUCUUUUUUUUAUUCAAAUAUAGUUGAUUUACAAUGUUUCUUCAAUUUCUGCUGUUCAGCAAUAAAAGGUAAAUUUUUGAAAUGAACAUAAACCCACCCUCCCCCCAUAAAUCAAUACUCUAGAGCAGCAAAUUUUUUUCCUUAGUAUUAAAUAAUGAAACUGAUAAUCAUAUACUUUCAUAUUUGAUGGAUAUAGUAUUUAAGCAGAAAGAGGAAGUGAAGGACAGAGACCAGCUAAAGCAAAUUCCUUACUUCCAAGAGCUUAAGUACAGUUGCCACUCUGUACAGACUUUCUUUUUUUUAAGCAAAAUCUCCCUUAAUGUGAGUGAGAGUCCUAUUUCUUCAAACAGGAAAAAACAAAACAAAUCAACAGCAACAACAAACCCCACAACUCUAACUAAAGGGAUAUUUAAAACUGUAAGGAAAAUUUUGGAUUUGGAAUAAACCUUAGCACUCCUGUCCGACCCUGAUGUUCUCUGAGAAGAAAACCAAAGCUGAGAGGAGUGAAUCAUCCCAGUUCACAGAGCUAAAUGAUAGCAAAGUUGGUCUAGAACAAUGCAUCUUCCAUUGUCUUCUAUUCAGAAUGCUGAUUUAAUAAUGUAGGUAUCUGCCGAGGAAGUGCAAAGGUGGCUAUAACUGACGGUCUUUCAGAAGAUGAAGAUUGUAAUAAAACCUUCUGUGGUUCUUGUGUUGCCUAUUUUCAGAAACUUGGUGAUUCGACACAAAGUACUAAUCACUGAGCUUCCAUUUCUUAGUGUGUAAAAUGCAGCUACUGUGAAAAUGAGAUACUAUUUGUCAAUUGCAUUCUGCAUAUACAUAGUAAACACCCAUCAGUGGUAUCAGUUAUCACUGGCUUCAUGUCCAUAUUUUAGAAGCUACCUAUCAAAGGCAAAGCAUCUUUCCAAAAUACCAAAUUAGGAGCUUCCAUUGUGGUUUAGCAGGUUAAGGACCUGACGUAGUCUCCGUGAGCAUGUGGGUUUGAUCCCUGGCCUUGCUCAGUGGGUUAAGGAUCUGGUGUUGCCACAAGUUGUGGCAUAGAUUGAGAAUUCAGCUCAGAUCUGGUGUUGCUGUAGGUGUGGCGUUAGCCUCAGCUGUAGCUCUGAUGAGACCCCUAGCCUAGGAACUUCCAUAUACUGCAGG
rnacentral:lncRNA from 1 species